GUCUGUUUGAAUAUAUCAUAUACAGUCUAGCCUGCCCACUGAAUAUUUUAAAGGCCGCGGUAUUCUAACCGUGCAAAGGUAGCAUAAUAAUUAGUCUUUUAAUUGAAGACUGGAAUGAAAGGUUGAACAAAAAAUAUCCUGUCUCAACUAUAAAUUUUGAACUUAACUUUUAAGUGAAAAGGCUUAAAUAAACUCGGAGGACGAUAAGACCCUGUAAAACUUUAUAUCCAUUUUAAUAUAAAAAUAUCUAUUUAUAUAACAAUUAUAUAUUAAACUACAUAUUUUAUUGGGGUGAUAAGAGUAUAAUCUUUAACUGCUCUUUCUUUAUUCAAUUAUUUUUGUUUCAUUGAUCCUUACUAAAGAUUUCAAGAAAAAGUUACUUCAGGGAUAACAGCGUUAUUUUUUUUGAGAGUUCCUAUCGACAAAAAAGCUUACGACCUCGAUGUUGAAUUAAAAUUCUCCUAAUGGAGCAACAACCAUUCACGGAAGGUCUGUUCGACC
rnacentral:rRNA from 1 species